UGUUGGAAGGGUAACCGGAAGACAUGUUUAGUGGCGAACGGGUGAGUAAUGCAUGAGAACGUAUCCUCAAGAGGGGGACAACAUUGGGAAACCGAUGCUAAUACCCCAUAAGCCGGGAGGUAAAAGGAGCAAUCCGCUUGAGGAGCGGCUCAUGUCCUAUCAGCUAGUUGGUGAGGUAACGGCUCACCAAGGCGAAGACGGGUAGCCGGCCUGAGAGGGUGAACGGCCACACUGGAACUGAGAGACGGUCCAGACUCCUACGGGAGGCAGCAGUGGGGAAUAUUGGGCAAUGGGGGAAACCCUGACCCAGCGACGCCGCGUGAGGGAAGAAGGCCUUAGGGUCGUAAACCUCUGUUGUGUGGGAAGAAGAGUGUGACGGUACCACACGAGGAAGUCCCGGCUAACUACGUGCCAGCAGCCGCGGUAAUACGUAGGGGACGAGCGUUGUCCGGAUUUACUGGGCGUAAAGGGCGCGUAGGCGGUCAUUUAAGUCAGCUGUGAAAUGGUUUGGCUUAACCGGAUCAUGCGGUUGAAACUGGAUGACUGGAGUGCUGGAGAGGCAAGUGGAAUUCCCAGUGUAGCGGUGAAAUGCGUAGAUAUUGGGAAGAACACCGGUGGCGAAGGCGACUUGCUGGCCAGCAACUGACGCUGAGGCGCGAAAGCCAGGGGAGCAAACGGGAUUAGAUACCCCGGUAGUCCUGGCCGUAAACGAUGAAUGCUAGGUGUGGGCAUCGAGAGGUGUCCGUGCCGGAGCUAACGCGAUAAGCAUUCCGCCUGGGGAGUACGAUCGCAAGAUUGAAACUCAAAGGGAAUUGACGGGGGCCCGCACAAGCGGUGGAGCACGUGGUUUAAUUCGAUGC
rnacentral:rRNA from 1 species